UCGUUCAGCGCACGUGUGAAUGUUUUUAAGUCUUUCAGACGAUGGGAAAAUGUCCCCAAAUUACAUGUAUUUUGUUGCACUUCACCAAGUUGGCAAGUUCCACGAGAAUUGUAGAUCAUUUUGGAAGUUUCCAGAUCUGGCUGAGCCUCUUUAAGUUUUGUGCAUUGAAUUGAUACAAAACGCUCCUUUUAUAAACUUGACAAAUUUCACCUGAAUCCGUGCAAAGGAAGUUUCCAGAUCUGACUGAGCCUUUUCUAGUUUUGCUCAUUGAUACAAAACGCUCCUUUUCUGUGCUUGAUGAAUUUCUCAAUGUAUCUGUGCAAAGGAAGUUUCCAGAUCUGACUGAGCCUCUUCAAGUUUUGUACAUUGGUACAAAAUGCUCCUUUUCUGUGCUUGAUAAAUUUCUCCAUGAAUCUGUGCAAAGGAAGUUUCCAGAUCUGACUGAGCCUUUUCAAGUUUUGCUCAUUGAUACAAAAUGAUCAUUUUCUGUGCUUGAUGAAUUUCUCUGUGAAUCCGUGCAAAGGAAGUUUACAGAACUGACUGAGGCUCUUCAAGUUUUGUACAUUGAUACAAAAUGCUCCUUUUCUGAACUUGGUAAAAUUCUCCACGCCUUGUGGAAUGCUUGGAAGUCCACAGUCAAACGGGAAACCAUCGUGGACUGGGCAUAGCCUACGGGAACAUCGGUACGGUGUACCGAGCCAUGGGUACGUUGUGUAAUGUUUGUUAUUGAGACAUUAAUGAGCCAGUCAGCAUUCUCCCUUAAGGCAGUGGACACUAUUGGUUAUUGU